CAAUAGCGUAUAUUUAAGUUGUUGCAGUUAAAAAGCUCGGAGUUGGAUUUCGGGUGGGACGCAGCGGUCUCGCAUUGCGUUUGUACUGCUGCAGCCCUCCUUCUUGCCGGGGGCGGCCUCUCGGACUUCACUGUCUGGGGGUCAGAAUCGGCGAUGUUACUUUGAGUAAAUUAGAGUGUUCAAAGCAAGCUUACGCUCUGAAUAUAAUAGCAUGGGAUAACACGACAGGACUCUGGCCUAUCGUGUUGGUCUAUAGGACCAGAGUAAUGAUUAAGAGGGACAGUCGGGGGCAUUCGUAUUCCGUUGUCAGAGGUGAAAUUCUUGGAUUUACGGAAGACGAACAUCUGCGAAAGCAUUUGCCAAGGAUGUUUNCAUUG
rnacentral:rRNA from 1 species